UUUACUAUUCUGGCAUUCUGAGAAGUUGUUCCAUGGGAAGAAGGAGCUCCAGUUUCAUGAUGCAUACGAAGAGAUUAUCCACCAGGUAUAUUUCACUUGCGCGAGGAGCUCCAUUUGAUGAAACAGGGCGUCUGUUCAGCCACAAUGGACUUUGAUUGUUGAAUACUCAAAAACUUCUUGCAUUCAUCAGAGCCAGCUCCAAAAAAGAGAGGUAAUCACACAUAUCAUACCUUGUCGAUAUCAUUAUUUUAUGAAAACACAUGAAAGUUAGUGGCAUGGUUAUUGAGUUGCUGUAUAGUCGCGGUAUAGUCGCUGUAUAGUCACCGAGUCGUUUUCCAAAAAUGGUGGCGACUCGCGACUAUACAGCGACUUAUGGCGACUAUACAUGUUUUUUGGUCGAUUAUACAUGAGUCGCAGGGUUUGGCGACUCACUUUUGAGUCGCGACUCAAAAACCAUGGUUAGUGGUAAUGCUUGAUGUGUGAGUGCAUUUCCUAAUACUUUUCAUUGAAUUAAUCAUUCUUUGAUGUGCUUUAUGCUAUUUGGUUGUUCUUUCUCCAAACAAAAUAGAUAAAAAAUGUCUAUCUUGGAGGCACAGAGUUAUUUGAGAAUGUCUUUUUGGGAGCACCUAUUUGGUGAAAAAGUUCAAGGUUUACCGACGAUGUCUCUUUUUGAAGUGACACCCGUGCAUCUGGAGGUCUGCUCUUUCAGUAUAAUUGCUCAAGCU